rnacentral:misc_RNA from 1 species
GUUACAUAAAUGUUGAUACAUAUAUGUAUAUACAUGUGGCAAUCGACAGAAGGGUAGUCAUUAGCGAUUAACACAAUUAUUCGUUGCGAAAAGGAAAACUUAUUUCAACCGUUCUAUAAUACAUACUACACUCUACAUUAUGUUGAAAGAGGAGAUUUUGAUACAAAUGCCAGAAAA